rnacentral:ncRNA from 2 species
AGCUAGCGGGUGUUUUAUUUGGUA